UGGUCUAGAGACCAGGUUAUUAUAAAUCACUUUUGUGAUUCCCUGUGCUUGGGUCUAGAGACCAGGUUAUUAUAAACACUUUUGUGAUUCCCUGUGCUUGGGUCUAGAGACCAGGUUAUUAUAAAUCACUUGUGAUUCUCUGUGCUUUGGGUCUAGAGACCAGGUUAUUAUAAAUCACUUUUGUGGCAACUAUUGAUUU